ACCCUGGGUUAAACGGCCGCGGUAUUUUAACCGUGCGAAGGUAGCGCAAUCACUUGUCCUUUAAAUGAAGACCUGUAUGAAUGGCUAGACGAGGGCUUAGCUGUCUCCUCCCCCCGGUCAAUGAAAUUGAUCUCCCCGUGCAGAAGCGGGGAUGCUAACAUAAGACGAGAAGACCCUAUGGAGCUUUAGACACUAGACAGCCUACGUUAAACUUCCCCUCUAAUAGGGAAAAAACAUUGUGGCUCCUGUCUCUCCUGUCUUCGGUUGGGGCGACCGCGGAGGAUAAAAGAGCCUCCAUGUGGACCGAGGUUACUAAUCUCACAGCUAARAGCUGCAGCUCCAAGCACCAGAAAUUCUGACCAAAAUGAUCCGGCACACUGCCGAUUAACGGAACAAGUUACCCUAGGGAUAACAGCGCAAUCCUCUCCCAGAGUCCCUAUCGACGAGGGGGUUUACGACCUCGAUGUUGGAUCAGGACAUCCUAUUGGUGCAGCCGCUAAUAAGGGUUCGUUUGUUCAACGAUUAAAGUCCU
rnacentral:rRNA from 1 species